UACGUAGGGUGCGAGCGUUGUCCGGAAUUACUGGGCGUAAAGAGCUCGUAGGCGGUUUGUCGCGUCGUCCGUGAAAACUUGGGGCUCAACCCCAAGCUUGCGGGCGAUACGGGCAGGCUAGAGUUCGGUAGGGGAGACUGGAAUUCCUGGUGUAGCGGUGAAAUGCGCAGAUAUCAGGAGGAACACCGGUGGCGAAGGCGGGUCUCUGGGCCGAUACUGACGCUGAGGAGCGAAAGCGUGGGGAGCGAACAGG
rnacentral:rRNA from 1 species